UGGGGGAUAUUGCACAAUGGGCGAAAGCCUGAUGCAGCGACGCCGCGUGGGGGAUGAAGGCUUUCGGGUUGUAAACCUCUUUCGCUAUCGAACAAGGCCCGCUUAGGGUGGGUUGAGGGUAGGUGGAGAAGAAGCGCCGGCUAACUACGUGCCAGCAGCCGCGGUAAUACGUAGGGCGCGAGCGUUGUCCGGAAUUAUUGGGCGUAAAGGGCUUGUAGGCGGCUUGUUGCGACUGCUGUGAAAACGCGGGGCUUAACUUCGCGCGUGCAGUGGGUACGUGCAGGCUUGAGUGUGGUAGGGGUGACUGGAAUUCCAGGUGUAGCGGUGGAAUGCGCAGAUAUCUGGAGGAACACCGAUGGCGAAGGCAGGUCACUGGGCCAUUACUGACGCUGAGGAGCGAAAGCAUGGGUAGCGAACAGG
rnacentral:rRNA from 1 species